rnacentral:lncRNA from 1 species
GCAUAGUGGAAAGUGAGGUGUCUGUAAUGACCAAAAUACCUCAUAUAAUUGAAGUAGAAAGUCGAAACCUGAGGGGGAUUUUGAAAUUAAAAUAUGGUGAAAGUGACAAUAGCACUUAGGAUCAAUUUACAGUCCAUGGAGCGUGACAGCGUGUCACCCAAGUCAUACUUCAUUUUGGCAACGGCGUAUAAUGGAAAAUUUUCAAUUUACAACAAGCUCGACACUACUUAAUAGCCACUUUGAAGGAACCCUACGUUUUCGUUAUUUUCAGGUAAGUUGAAGAGAAAGACGAAGAUUAACGAGGUAAAAGGCUUUGAAUAUCCAUUUUCAAAUCUCUAUAAUGGAUUCAUUAUCUGUAUUAUCACGUAUUUUUGCGCAAAAUUCAUGUAGUGUCAAGGCUUUGAUCGUAAAAAAGAGAGAAUUUUAAUGAUUUAAGUGCUUUUUUCUUUCUGUACAUUGUCUCGGCCAAAAAAGGGAUCAGUUUGUUUGAUUGGUAAUCCGUGUGUUUUGACUUUUGCAGGCAAUUUUGAAUUCGGAUUUUCACGCAUCUAAAUAUGGUACGUUUAGCAUUAAUCACUUUCUGAGGUGUAGGGUUAGGGUUUUGAGUUCUAAUAUGUUGUGUUAUGAAGCUCUAAUUUCUAUUUUUCUUUUUCUGUCUCAGCUUCCGCUCUCUUUGCUCAAGACUGCACAGGGGCAUCCCAUGGUAAGCUUUUGAACCCCC